rnacentral:rRNA from 1 species
AGGGCACCACCAGGAGUGGAGCCUGCGGCUUAAUUUGACUCAACACGGGGAAACUUACCCGGCCUGGACACUGGAAGGAUUGACAGGUUGAGAGCUCUUUCUUGAUUCAGUGGGUGGUGGUGCAUGGCCGUUCUUAGUUGGUGGAGCGAUUUGUCUGGUUAAUUCCGAUAACGAACGAGACUCUAGCCUAUUAAAUAGGCUCCCGGCUUUUAAACGCCGGGAGGACUUCUUAGAGGGACAGGUGGCGGUUCAGCCGCACGAAAGAGAGCAAUAACAGGUCUGUGAUGCCCUUUGUUGUCCGGGGCCGCACGCGCGCUACACUGAAGAGAUCAGCGUGCUUUAUGUUCCUGCUCCGACCGGAGUGGGGAACCCAGUGAACCUUCUUCGUGAUUGGGAUAGAAGAUUGUAAUUAUUCUUCUUGAACGAGGAAUUCCCAGUAAAUGCAAGUCAUAAGCUCGCGUUGAUUACGUCCCUGCCCUUUGUACACGCAGCCCGUCGCUACGACCGAUUGAACGAAUU